UACGUAGGGUGCAAACGUUGUUCGGAAUCACUGGGCAUAAAGAGCGCGUAGGCGGUCUGACAAGUCCCCUGUGAAAGCCCCCGGCUUAACCGGGGAACUGCAUGGGAUACUGUUGGGCUAGAGUGCAGGAGGGGAGAGCGGAAUUCCUGGUGGAGCGGUGAAAUGCGUAGAUAUCAGGAGGAACACCGGUGGCGAAGGCGGAUCUCUGGGCCUUACCUGACGCUGAGGCGCGAAAGCUAGGGGAGCAAACAGG
rnacentral:rRNA from 1 species